CUCCUGCUCUAGGCCCAGCGCCUUGGACGUGCACAGUAGAUCCCUCCCGGCUUCCCGGCUUCCCGUCUCGUCACCCUCUGAACCUGAGGACGCAGCCAUGGAGCGGUCGGCCUUCAUGGAGCUGGAUGCUGGGAGCAGGCUGGUGAUGCAUCUCCGCGAGUGGCCAGCCCUGCUGGUCAGCAGCACGGGCUGGACAGAGUUUGAACAACUUACUCUUGAUGGACACAACCUUCCUUCUCUUGUCUGUGUGAUAACAGGGUCGGUGGACCUGGGUGUCUGUCUGCACAUGUCCUCCAGUGGCCUGGACCUGCCCAUGAAGGUGGUGGACAUGUUCGGGUGCUGUUUGCCUGUGUGUGCCGUGAACUUCAAGUGUUUACAUGAGCUGGUGAAACAUGAAGAAAAUGGCCUGGUCUUUGAGGACUCAGAGGAACUGGCAGCUCUGCAGAUGCUUUUCUCAAACUUUCCUGAUCCUGCAGGCAAGCUAAACCAGUUUUGGAAGAACCUGCGGGAGUCGCAGCAGCUCCGAUGGGAUGAGAGCUGGGUGCAGACUGUGCUCCCUUUGGUUAUGGACAUACAACUCCUGGGCCAGAGGCUAAAACCCCGGGACCCCUGCUGUCCUUCCCGCAGCUUCUUCUCGGAGUCUCAGGGCAAACCCUUUUGAGCAGCGCCUCCCAGUGGCCAGAAGCUGAAAUGACGGCAGUGGUGCCGCCUGGUGAAUGAAUUGGUUCUGUGACCCGGGAA
rnacentral:lncRNA from 1 species